AGGAGUCCAUACUACUUUGUCGGAACGGAGAUCCUUGAACAGACCGAAUGUGAUAGCACAUAUGAUGCUCCAGGCCCGAUGGAGGGGACAAAUGUUGCCGAGAUGUUGACAAUAUAUACCCAAGUGGUCCAGACAACCGUACAAGUUCAUUCCUAUAUAAUGAAGCUUCGUUGCCAGCCCCGAGUAAUCUGACACAACAUUAUGGGACAGAUGUAGCACAAAGUGCAAAUGUUGUUGUACAUGCUCCUGGUCGUGAUGCCUUAGAGGUUUUACCUCUGUCGGAUGCAACAUCCGAACACAUAAUGACAGGAUCUGUCAUGAAAAAAACAUAACAGACGAAAAGAGGGAGCAGAAAAACGCCUGGAGGCUGAAAAUCAUCCUGCCCUUACAAUGACUGAACUAUCUAGCAUCCAACUUAAUAACGAGGAAAAGAGGGAGCAGAUAAAAGCUCAAAGGCGGGCCGCUUAUCGGAAGAAAGAUGAUGAGAGUUCCAUAAAGCUAAAUGCAGAUGUGCAGAAUGUUGCACGGCAUCCUCUCGGUGAUAUCACUAAUGCGUAUCAACCAUCCUCUAUGGACCUUGACGAAAGAAAGGAGUUGAUAAAGGCGCGGAAGCGAGCUUCUUAACGAAAGAGAAAAGAGGAGGCUAGCGUCAAACAACAGAAUGAGAAUCUGUCUGCACUUACGAUAUCAGAAGCGGAUGUGCAAAAUGUUCCCAUAUCCCCUCCCGGUGAUAUCACUAAUGGGCAUCAACCAACCUCGUUGUACCUCGACGA